UCUGACGCAAGAUCGAGUCCUGCUCGUUGGAAUACAAGCACAGGCAAGCUGGUGAAAUAUAUUAAUAAAUAUUUUGCUUGGUUUUUGGAAUGGCUGCUGAAGAUACUGCUUCCAAAGUUGCCAAUAUGAACAUCAAAGGUGAGUUUCUUUCUCAUUCAGCUAAUUUUAAGUAUUAAAAUGCUGAAAUAACCGUUCGUGUUACAUGUAGAAUACAAUUUCCGCUAUUCUCCCAAAUGUUCAAUACGUGUAUUUAGUACUUAUAUAAUUUGAGUAAUUCUGUGGUAUUAAUGGUUUGUGUCACACAUUUAGUAGCAGUUACGCUAAUUUACAAUGCGUUUACAAUAAAAUUAUAAGGAUAUAUGAAAUUAGGCACAGAUCCAUCUUACUUCGCCUUGAGUGUUUCAUUUUAAUUGGCAAAAUGAAUUCCACACCCGACAAUUCCUCGAAUUCGAGAUCAAUAAAGUAAGAUCUGAAGCGUGAUCAGUGUUUGCAGGAAUGCAUGGUCUUUGGUUGGCCUUCGUUUGAAAGAGGUUUACACGGAAAUUUUCUUCCCAGAGAACUUAUAUUAUUUAUGAUACGAAGACGAAGUGACUAGUAAACGGCCACGUCCAUAUUCAUAUUGCAACAAAUAUAACGUCGAAUCGACGUUAUUACUUCACGGGCCCACGCCAGAUAUAACCUCGAUCGAUAUUCAGUCGUAUUUAUCGUAUUUUGACCGCUAAACUCACAAUUAUUGUACUUUAAUAUGGGUUUUCCGCUCGUAUAUGUUUUCGUAUAUAAACUGGGAUUGUAUUUUGAUAUAAUAUUUAAACAAUGUACGAUAUUCGGUAAGUGCUUAAAAUAUGUUUUAAAAUAUUUUUCAUUUGUAUUUCUAUAUUCAAUUAUAUUUUUAUAUGUUAGUAUUCUAAUACAAAAGCUGUAGUCCUGUACUGUGAUAGUUACUUUGGACAUUAAUUGUCAAAUUGCCACGUGUAGUGGGGCGGUAAGUCCGUAAGUGAAAGUAUUGUGGAUUUUGUGAAGAAAGCACCAUAUUGGCGUAUUGGCAUGAGGAUGUGUAUAGAAUUUGACGCAAGUAUGAUUUUCAGAUAUGGAGGCAUCUGUGAAAUUAGCGCUUAAAUAGCCAAAAAUUUGGAAUUUCUGACAUUUUAUUAUAAAUUUUCAUUACGGCUCAAAAUUCAAAAGUACAUCACAAAAAAUUAGUUCUGUGGCUGCGAAGUAGCCGACAAAAAUUGUCUGUAGAACAUUAAAGCAGUUUUUUAUUGCGGUUGCGAGUUUGUUAGUUUGUUACUGUCACUACUGUUAGUUUGUUCUGAUCAAUACGUUUCCUUAAUAUCCUAGUAAAAAUCCCUUGCACGUGCUCUGAAUUUAUUCAUUUUUAUGCGCCAAACAAGGACAAAAAUACCACUGUUCGAAUAAGCGUAAAACGUUGUAUUUAUGGAUGGCAAAUUGAUUUCAAAAUUGAUUUCUGUUUCAACGAUUCAUGCAUUUCAUGGCUUUUGAAAGACAAGCCGCUCAAAAUAAUCCUUUGGCAUAUUUUCCGAAUUCCUUUUUUUCGAGGAAAGUUUUCUUGUCAAGUGAUCUAUGGGCUCAGACCGGGAGAACCCGGGGGGGCCCAACCCCAAUGGGCCAAAUGGGAGCCCCAGGCUCUGGCUGUAGAGCAAAUACAUUGGCCAGGGCCUCUGAUAUGUUACAAUGUCGUUUUCUGACCAUUAGAAUUCUGUAAAAUCUCUCCCCAAAGUCCGGGAAAUGGCAUUUCAGAGUGUCUAGAUUCAAACAUUUUCCGGAAAACUCGUGCAUAUACGGCGCUCAACUCGUGCGUUCGGCAUUUCUACUAUCUGGGGGAGGGCCUUCGAAAAUUUUGAACCGGGGGCCUCCUGAUAUAACGUUACGCCACUGUCCCUUAUAUAUACUCAUAUACUAUAAUAAUAUUGGUCCCAUUUUACAAUCCAUUAUUUGUUGAGUUUUAUAUAAAAAAAUAUAUUGUUGUGCAGAAGGUUGAGCAGUGAGAAAGCUCGAGAGAACUUGAACAAGCACUGAUCAACCAACAGAACUGGGUUGGAGAUUUUUAAGAAUCUAUGUAUUCAAAUGAUUGAGUGAAAAACGAGAUAUGGCUAUAUAAAAAUAAAUCAUAAAGUAUAUUAUACUCAAUAUUUAUGAAUAUGGGACCUUAGUCUAGCCUGAAAAAUAAAUAACGUAGCAGCUUCGGUUAUAUAUUUAUCUAGUGAGUUCCAAAACAAUGAUCCACUGUGUUUAAGAGUUUGUUUUCUUGUUGUUGUUCUGACUUAAUUGGUUUAUAUGAACUCUGUUGGCAUUCCGCGUCUCGUAAGAGUGAAUGUUCUUGUUAAGGAUGAAGUAAUUCCUAAAAUAUUGCGGGAAAAUUGAGGACUUGUCAAAGCAUCUAUACAUAAAAGAACCAGUUUGAAAUUUAUUAAUGGCAUAAACAUCAAGUAACUUGAAUUUUGAAAAAAGUGGUUCAGUAGGAUCUCGAUAUCCAGCAUUAGCAAUAAUACCCACUACACGUUUUUGCAAUUUCAUGAUUUCAUCAAGAUUAGUAGGAUAUGUUUUAGCCCAAACUAUAUUACAGUAUUGAUUAUACGGUAACACCAAGGAGCAAUAUAAAGUUCUUCUGGUGGGGCUAGUAAUAAAAUGCUUUGCUUUGUUUAUGAUACCAAUAGAUUUUGCCAUCUUUAGGGCAACGUGUGAAAUAUGUGGUUUCCAGUCUAGAUGUUCGUUUAUAUAAGUUCCAAGAAAUUUAGUGGUAGCUAAACUUUUUAUUUUUAUUUUUUUUCAAUAAACACUUUUAGAUUGUUUCGACUUGGAAUAAGUUUAUUUCUUGCGCGAAAAAUGAUAUAAUUCGUUUUCUUUAAAUUAAGUAAAAGUUUAUUUGCUUUAAACCAGUCCGACAGUUUAUCAAGUUCACAAUUAACUUUACGGAUGAGUGUGGCAGGAUCUCUGUCGGAAUGAUAUAUACUAGUAUCAUCAGCAAACAGAAUAAAAUUGAGAAGAUUAGAGCAAUUGGCAAUAUCAUUAAUGUAAAGAAGAAAUAAAAGUGGUCCAAGGAUAGAACCUUGGGGAACACCACAUGUUACAGUAAUUUUUGAGGAGACCAUCUCACUAAAUUUCACAGUUUGUUUCCUAUCACUUAAGUAAUCUUUAAACCACAAGUGGAGUACCUCUGAUACCGUAAUGGUUUAAUUUACUUAUAAGAAUUUUGUGGUUCACAGUAUCAAACGCUUUUGAUAAAUCAACAAAUAUGCCUACAGUAUAUUCAUUGUUAUCAAUCGAAUGAGAGAGACUGUCGAUUAAUUCAAUUAAAGCCAUAUAAGUUGAGUAAUUCUUUCUGAAACCAUACUGAUUGCUGGAUAGGAUAUGCAUUUUAUCCAAACAUGUUAAUAAUCUGUUGUAAAUACUUCUUUCCAAUAUUUUUGAAAAUAUUGGAAGAAUGGAAAUUGGUCUAUAGUUACCGAAAGAUUUACGGUCAUCAGAUAUGUAAACAGGGGUUAUCAUAGCCUCUUUUAAUUUCUCAGGCACUCUGCCAGUAUUCAUGGAUUUAUUGAAAAUAUUUGACAAAAUAGGAGCUAAUGGUACAGCAAGUUGUUUAAUAAUAAAUGGGUCAAUCAAAUCGAUCCCACAGGAUUUAUUAGGGUUAAGUUCUGAGAUAAAUUUAGUUAUUUCAUCUUCAUUAGUACAAACGAGUGCAUGUAAGAUCCUUUAAGGUAGUGAGUAAAAUUAACAGAAGUAUUAGGAAUUACUUUUGCUAUAGACAAAUACUUUGCCAAUGUUGGCAAAGUAUUUGUUGAAAGUGUUGGAGAUUAUCUGAGGGUCAGCAGUCUCAGUAUCAUUGAAAUGGAAUGAUUCAGGGUAAAUAGUUUUAGAUUUUGGUUUUCGAAUAACGUCAUUAAGGAUUCCCAAGUAUGCUUCAGAUCAGAUUUAGCAGAUUCAAGUUUCAUUGCAAAGUAACGCUUUUUUUGCGAUUUUGAGAAGAUGAUUCAAUUUGUUCCUAUAUGAUUUAAAUUUUUGUUCAGUUGGUGAAUUCCUUUCUUUUAAGAACUUUUUGUACAAUUUGUUUUUAACUUUAAUUGAUUUAAUCAAUCCUUUUGAUAUCCAUGGUUUACGAGCCCGCGUUUUCCUUAUUUUUCUUUUUUUGAGUGGAAAAGAUUUGUCGUAAAGGUCAUUAAACUUAUUAAGAAAAAUAUUAUAGGCAAUAUUCGAAUCAGUGCAUGGAUUCAUAAACUGCUUGCCAAUUAACUUUAAACUUAUCAAUGUUUUUUUGUCUGUCAGCCUAGAAGUGGAAUAUUUGUUUGGGGAUAGAUGACUUCUUGCUUUUAGGUCUGAAAUAUGAAAUAUAGGUAAGUGGUCAGAAAUAUCAGUAUCAGUAAAGGUAUUGUUAGCUGAUCUGAAAGAUUCAGUAUUCCUGGUACACAUGCAUUUUAACAGAGAAUGACUGUAAUUUCAAAAAUUAAAUAUGCAUAUCAAAAACAAUAUCUAUUUUUACAAAAACGUUUGGAAACAUGAUCUAGUCGUCCAGCUUGAUGUCAUAUUCUAUUUAUUUGGAUAUUUCAAUAAAGGAAAGUGAAAUAAUAAUUGAAACUUGUCCAAAAUUUGAUACCAACACUCAAGUGAACAGAUACUCCUAGAUCACCUAAAAAUAAAAAAACAGAACUUAAAUUUAGCAUAUAAUGCUAUGAAAAAUAAUAUAUUAGAUAUUACAGACUAUGAUAAGAGGAUGGCAAUAUAUGACAACAUCAAAUGUUACCAUCUUCAGUGUCCAAAAAACGUGCCGCGUGCAUUUUUCGUGGUCCCAUAACUGGCAUUGCCACAAACCCAGGUGAAAAAGCAAUUAGAAAAACCUGGUUUUGGAUGAUGAGCAUAGUCAAAUUCUUGACUUAAUAUUCAAUUUUCUAAGUUUUUCCAGGUAAACAGAUUCAACGUUGAAAUAAGCCCCAUUCGGGACCUCAUAGAAUCCAAAAUAUUGUGUAUGGACCAGAUUUUUUUUCAAUUUUCUGUGAUUUACAUAACACUAGUUAUAAUUUAAGGGUCAACCAGUAUUUUUCACGACAUAUUUUCCUUCCUGAACACAUUUUCAAAAUACUAACCAAAACAUAUCAAAAAUAGUGUACAUUUACAAGGGCAAUUUCAACCCUUUGGCACAUUUUUCCCAUGAAUGAUUUUAAUUCUAAUAAAAAGGCUAUAGAUAAAACUCAUUUUGAUUUAAAGAUACGGUUUCAAGUGAUGAGCAUACCCUAAUUUUAAGCUAUAUGUCAAACAUUGAAAUGUGGAUAUACUCACAGCUCUGUCACACGCACGUGUAGUUUGACAUUAGCAGACCUUCUGAAACAUUUUAAUGCGGAAAGUAUAAUUCACAUUGUCACUUCUUAACAUCUGUCUUAAUCCAACUAUAGCUCUGUAGGCACGAGCAAAAUUUAGUGUUGAUGUGAAUAUCCAUUUAGUUCAUGUUGCCCCGGUGAAAAUAUAGUCUAUUCCAAAGCUGAUUU
rnacentral:lncRNA from 1 species